rnacentral:misc_RNA from 1 species
GAUGAAGAACGUAGCGAAAUGCGAUAAGUAAUGUGAAUUGCAGAAUUCAGUGAAUCAUCGAAUCUUUGAACGCACAUUGCGCCCCUUGGUAUCCCGAGGGGCAUGCCUGUUCGAGCGUCAUUUCACCACUCAAGCCUGGCUUGGUGUUGGGCGACGUCCCCUUUGGGGACGCGCCUCGAAACGCUCGGCGGCGUGGCACCGGCUUUAAGCGUAGCAGAAUCUUUCGCUUUGGAAGUCGGGGCCCCGUCUGCCGGAAGACCUACUCGCAAGGUUGACCUCGGAUCAGGCAGGGAUACCCGCUGAACUUAAGAAUAUCAAUAAGCGGAGGA